CCACGGGGGGCUGCAGUGGGGAAUAUUGGACAAUGGGCGAAAGCCUGAUCCAGUCAUGCCGCGUGUGUGAAGAAGGCCUUCGGGUUGUAAAGCACUUUCAGUGGGGAAGAAAGCCUUGGGGCUAAUACCCUCGAGGAAGGACAUCACCCACAGAAGAAGCACCGGCUAACUCCGUGCCAGCAGCCGCGGUAAUACGGAGGGUGCGAGCGUUAAUCGGAAUUACUGGGCGUAAAGCGCGCGUAGGCGGUCUGAUAAGCCGGUUGUGAAAGCCCCGGGCUCAACCCGGGAACGGCAUCCGGAACUGUCAGGCUAGAGUGCAGGAGAGGAAGGUAGAAUUCCCGGUGUAGCGGUGAAAUGCGUAGAGAUCGGGAGGAAUACCAGUGGCGAAGGCGGCCUUCUGGACUGACACUGACGCUGAGGUGCGAAAGCGUGGGUAGCAAACAGGAUUAGAUACCCGAGUAGUC
rnacentral:rRNA from 1 species